GGUAUUUACCCAACGUUUACUGGUAAGCGUUAAGUCUGCCCUUUGCUUCGGCAUCGUGGUUUGACACCCAUUUUUGGUACAUAUCCUUUCGGGUCA
rnacentral:misc_RNA from 1 species